rnacentral:lncRNA from 1 species
AAUGGAUGGAGGCUGGAUCAAUACUGGAUCAAUGCUGGAUCAAUGCUGGAUCAAUGCCAGAUCAAUACCAGAUCAAUGCUGGAUCAGUGCUGGAUCAAUACCAGAUCAAUGCUGGAUCAAUGCUGGAACAAUACCAGAUCAAUACUGGAUCAGUGCUGGAUCAGUGCUGGAUCAAUGCUGGAUCAAUACUGGAUCAAUGCUGGAUCAAUGCUGGAUCAAUACCAGAUCAAUACUGGAUCAAUGCUGGAUCAAUGCUGGAUCAAUGCUGGAUCAAUGCUGGAUCAAUGCUGGAUCAAUACCAGAUCAAUACUGGAUCAAUGCUGGAUUAAUGCCGGAUCAAUGCUGGAUCACUACCGGAUCAAUGCCGGAUUAAUGCUGGAUCAAUACUGGAUCAAUACUAAGCCAAUGCCAGAUCAAUGCUGGAUCAAUACCAGAUCAGCAAUGGAUCAGUUCCAGACUGAGGGAUCAGUGCUGGAUCAAUGGUGGAUCAAUACCAGACUGAUACUGGAUCAAUGCCAGAUCAGCACUGAUUUGGUGCUGGAUCAAUACCAGAUCAAUGCUGAGGCAAUGCCAGAUCAAUGGCAGAUCAAUGGCAGAUCAAUGGCGGAUCAAUGCCAGAUCAAUGCCCGAUCCAAUGCUGGAUCAAUGCCAGAUCAAUGGCAGAUCAAUGGCAGAUCCAAUGGCGGAUCAAUGCCCGAUCAAUGCCUGAUCAAUGCCAGAUCAAUGCCCGAUCAAUGCCCGAUCCAAUGCCGGAUCAAUGCUGGAUCAAUGCCAGAUCAAUGCCAGAUGAAUGCCCAAUCCAAUGCCAGAUCCAAUGCCGGAUCAAUACCGGAUCAAUACCAGAUCCAAUGCCUGAUCAAUGCCUGAUCCAAUGCCAGAUCAAUGCCAGAUCAAUGCCAGAUCAAUGCCCGAUCCAAUGCCCGAUCAAUGACUGAUCAAUGCCCGAUCAAUGCCCGAUCCAAUGCCAGAUCAAUACCAGAUCAAUGCCAGAUCAAUGCCCGAUCAAUGCCGGAUCAAUGCCCGAUCCAAUGCCAGAUUAACACUGGAUCAAUACUGAGCCAAUGCCAGCUCAAUGCCACAUCAAUGGCUGAUCAAUGCCCAAUCAAUCAAUGCCGGAUCAAUAUUGGCUAAAUGCUGGCUCACUGAUGGAUCGAUGCAAUGCCAGAUCAAUGCCUGAUC